CCUCGAAUCAGGUGGGACUACCCGCUGAACUUAAGCAUAUCAAUAAGCGGAGGAAAAGAAACUAACAAGGAUUCCCCUAGUAACGGCGAGUGAAGCGGGAUGAGCUCAAAUUUAAAAUCUGAUAGUCUUUGGCUGUCCGAGUUGUAAUCUAGAGAAGUGUUUUCCGCGUUGGACCAUGUACAAGUUUCCUGGAACGGAACGUCAUAGAGGGUGAGAAUCCCGUCCUUGACAUGGAUUACCAGUGCUUUGUGAUACACUCUCAACGAGUCGAGUUGUUUGGGAUUGCAGCUCAAAAUGGGAGGUAAAUUCCUUCUAAAGCUAAAUAUUGGCGAGAGACCGAUAGCGAACAAGUACCGUGAGGGAAAGAUGAAAAGCACUUUGGAAAGAGAGUUAAACAGUACGUGAAAUUGUUAAAAGGGAAACGAUUGAAGUCAGUCGCGUUUGCUUGGACUCAGCCUUACCUCGGUUUGGUGCAUUUCCUUGUGAACGGGCCAGCGUCAAUGUUGUUCGUUGGAAAAGGGUUAGAGAAAUGUGGCUCUUUCGGGAGUGUUAUAGUCUCUGAUCGUAUACAACGGCUGAUAUUGAGUGGUACAGCAUGCUUCGGCGGUGCUU
rnacentral:rRNA from 1 species